GUAUCAAAGUGGACAGUCAAUUAACAUUUCCUUUUCCCUCUGUAUCUACAAUUAUCUGCAAAUGAGGUGAUGAGGUGAUCUGCAGAAGCUAGAGCCCUUAACCAUGGAGCUACACAUGCACCUAGCCCAAGACUUAGAGCAGAUGAAGGAGGAGCUCAUGCAGGUCCGAGUGCUGCCCCUGCCAAUAAGUGAGCCAGCCGACUCAAUGUCAUGAACUGCCACUGUGCCUGGCACCCAGCUGUGACUUUCAGAGUAGAAAACACGGCUUUGCUUCCACCUCUCCAGUCUUGUGCCAAUUUCUCUUUUGGCCAAUCCCAAUCUGGAGCCAUGCAGGGAAGGGAAUUCUAGCAAAUGAGUUCCACUGCAGCUAAAUCGACAAUAAAGAGCUACCAGAAUCCA